ensembl:lncRNA
CUUCUUCAUUCCUAUAGUUAAAGAAAAAACUAUAAGAUCCGUGCAAUAUGAAGAAAAAAAAAUGCACUUGGACAUAUCUACUGUUUUUUUGUUGGAUAAUCAAAAAUAGUUCCACUUUUAAAAAACUAAAGACAUGUUUUAUUUUGUAACGCGUUUGUUACAUUUAUUUGUUACAUUUAUUUGUUACAUUUAUUUGUUACNNNNNNNNNNAUUUAUUUGUUACAUUUAUUUGUUACAUUUAUUUGUUACAUUUAUUUAUUAUAGUUGUUUGUUACAGCUAUUUGUAAUAUAUGCUUUUUUUUGCUUUUUUUUUUUUUUUAUUCGCUUAUAGAAAGUGUUACAUUAAGCUUGCUUUUGAUAAAUUUCUUAUUUUUACACAACCUUGUAUAUGUAAGAAACCACUGUAAAAGUAAUUAUAUAUAUUUUCCACUUCUGCAUUUUUUUUAUUUCUAUUUUUAGUAAUGUAUAUAUAUACAUGCACCGUUUGUCUUUCUUAGCUAUGUUACGCUUUAUUAAAAAAAAAAAAAAGAUAUAAAUUUACAAUUGCAUGAGCUUAAAAAUUCCCAUUUUUGUCUUAUUUUUACACAAUAUUAGAAUUUUUUUUUUUUUUUACUUGGUUGAUUUAAUUUGAUUUUAUUUAUUUUUUUUUUUUUGUUUUAUAAAUAGAACAAAUAACAAUUAUACUUUUUGUUUUUUUGCUAAUUUAUUGUUUUGUUAAUUUACUGUUUUUAUUUUUGUUCUAUCCACAUUGUGUAUUUUUUGGAGGACAAAACAUGCAAAGGUGAAUGCUCAACUUAAUCACUUAAACCGUUGCACAUGUUGUAAACAGAUGUAUAUAUAUAUAUACUUACAUGUUUUAUAUACACACGUGUUUAUAUAUGGACUGGGCUGUAUGCCGCAUUGUUAAUUAACACAAUCUGCUUCAAUAAAUAAUCCGUUUCAACAAUCUGCUUCAGCAAUAUGCUUUAAAAAUGUAAAAACAAUCCCGAAUAUGAAAAUGCAUUACUUAACUUUUGUUUUGAUUCUAAUCAGCUGCUACUUAUUUAAGGGCAUAAAUAAUAGCCCUUUUAUUUCUGAUAUGAAAAUGUUAGAAAUGAUAAAAGAUAAUUUUGUGGAAACAAAGAGUUCAGAGAUUUUUAAUUUUUCUUUUUUUUAUUUAUAUAAUGCUUUAAAAUGUACUUUAACUGAACCAGUUUUUGUUUCUUAUAGUGAUGAUAAAUACCAAAAAGAAAUAAUUAUUAUUAAAAACAAAUUAAUAAAACUUAAGGAUCAAAAACAUAAUAGGAACUUAUGGGUUUUUUGGGAGUCUGAUUUGUUAGAUUUGUUAAUAUUGAAUAUCCAGAAAAUCGAAAAAAAUAUGAGAAAUAAUGGAGAUGGCUUUAUAGCAAUUUAUGAACAAUUAAAAAUGUCUGAUCCGAAUUUUAACAAUAUUACUGUUUUAUCUUUAAAUAUAUGUACCCAUCCAAUUUUUUCUAUUGAAGAAGUUGCCAUUUAUUUAACUAUCUUACCAUUUAUAUUGGAUAAACUAACCAUUUCUGCACCUGACUACAACUUAGAAUUAAAAUCUGUUUUUCAAAAAAGUUUAAACUUUUUUAAUUUUUAUAUGUCUUUAACAAAUGAACAUAAUAUGUAUAUUUAUAAUAUGAAUCAUAAAGAGAUACAUGUUUUUUUAAAAGUUUAUGAUAAAUAUGAUUUUAAACCUAUGAACGAAGAAAAUAAUUUAAAUUUGUAUGAUGAACUAUAUUUGAAAAAUAAAUAUGGUAAAAUUUUAAUCAAUAAUUUAUUUAUUUUAUAUUAUAAUAUAUUUUUUAUAACACCAAAUGAAAAGUUAUAUUAUUUUAAUUAUAUUGAUAUAAUACCUAUAUAUGUUAGAACAAAUAAUGAAAUGUUAAAAUCGAAGUAUUAUAAUGUAGAAAAUCCUUAUUAUACCCUAAUUGAAAAUACAUAUAAAAAUAACUUAAAAGUAAAUGAAUCAAUUAUAUUAGUAAAAAUAUUUAACAACGACACUGCUAUUGAAAUUAAUAGUAAUCACCGGGAAAGUAGUGCUAGUGCUAGUGGUAGUAGUAGUAGUGGUAUUAGGAGUGGUAGUAGUAGUGCUAGUAGUAGUGCUAGUGGUAGUGCUAGUGGUAGUAGUAGUGGUAUUAGGAGUGGUAUUAGGAGUGNNNNNNNNNNUAGGAGUGGUAUUAGGAGUGGUAGUAGUAGUGCUAGUGGUAGUGCUAGUGGUAGUAGUAGUAGUAGUAGUAGUGGUAUUAGGAGUGGUAGUAGGAGUGGUAGUAGGAGUGGUAGUAGUAGUGGUAGUAGUAGUAGUGGUAGCAGUACUAUUACCAGUACCAGUACCAAUUGUAAUAAUAAUGGCAGUGAUGGGGAUAGUAAAGAACGUUGUCAUAAUAGUAAAAAUGUAAAAACGCCCUAUUACUUAAGAGCUAAAAUUAUUUAUAGAACACUUAUAAAUACUGUAAAUGAUUAUUCUUCACUUGAAAAUGGCAUAAAAUUUACUUUUCUUCACUCUCAAAGUAUGGAUGACACAAUUAUGUCAUCGUCAAUUGAAGACGUAGCAUUAGUUAUGAUUGUGUUAGUAGACAUAAAUUUAAAAAGUAAUGUUUUAUUAAAAAACAUAAAUAAUUUAAUAUAUUCAAAUAAUAUUGAUCAAGAAGAUAAACAAAGUAUUAAUAAUAGAGUAACUAUAUUAGGCUCUUGUAUUUACAACAAUAACACAAAAACACCAAUAUAUACGGGUUUCUUUGAUAGAGGGAUUAGCGCUUUAAAUCUAAAUAAUAUUUUAAAACAUUUAACAUUUACAACAAAAAUGUUUUAUAUUUCAAUUGGGAGUAUGGAAAAGAAUGACAAAAUGAGAGCGGAUGUUAUAGCUACACGAAUUAUGAGUAACUACAAUAAUUUGUACAACGUCUUAGUUCUUUUUGAAAAAUAUGAGCUUUUAAAAUAUGAUAAGAUUGCAAAUAUAAACAGAUGUGAAGCUUGCUUAAUUGGUUACAAGGGAUUAUAUACUUUGUACGCUUCCAUAUGUAUACCAAUUAUAAUAAGUUUACUUAUUUGUUAUUAUAUAUAUAAAA